CAGGUUCCGGUUCACGCCUGUCGAGCGACCCGGCGACC
rfam:Actinobacteria bacterium 13_2_20CM_2_72_6 13_2_20cm_2_scaffold_20050, whole genome shotgun sequence.